rnacentral:rRNA from 1 species
CUGGGACUGAGACACUGCCCAGACUCCUACGGGAGGCUGCAGUCGAGAAUCUUCCUCAAUGGACGAAAGUCUGAAGGAGCGACGCCGCGUGCAGGAUGAAGGCUUUCGGGUCGUAAACUGCUUUUGUUAGGAAAGAAACUCCCGUUGUAUAAUAUAUUACGGGAUUGACGGUACCUAAAGAAUAAGCCACGGCCAACUCCGUGCCAGCAGCCGCGGUAAUACGGAGGAGGCGAGCGUUACUCGGAAUUAUUGGGUGUAAAGGGCAAGUAGGCGGCAUAUUAAGUGAGGGGUGAAAUCUUCCGACUCAAUCGGAAAAUUGCCUUUCAAACUAAUAAGCUUGAGAUUGGAAGAGGGAAACGGAAUUAGCAGUGUAAGGGUGAAAUCUGUAGAUAUUGCUAAGAACACCAGCGGCGAAGGCGGUUUCCUGGUCCAAAUCUGACGCUAAAUUGCGAAAGCUAGGGUAGCAAACAGAAUUAGAUACUCUGGUAGUCCUAGCUGUAAACGAUGAGCACUAGGUGUUGGUUUUUAUUAAUCAGUGCCGCAGCUAACGCGUUAAGUGCUCCACCUGGGGACUACGGCCGCAAGGCUAAAACUCAAAGGAAUUGACGGGGACCCGCACAAGCGGUGGAACAUGUGGUUUAAUUCGAUGCUACGCGAAGAACCUCACCAAGGCUUGACAUGUAAGAAGUAGUGAACUGAAAGGGGAACGACCCGUUAAACCGGGAACUUACACAGGUGCUGCAUGGCUGUCGUCAGCUCGUGUCGUGAGAUGUUGGGUUAAGUCCCGCAACGAGCGCAACCAUUGCCCUAUGUUGCUACCCCCGCCCACCUUAAUUUAUUUUGAGGAUGGCGGGGCGCACUCUUAGGGGACUGCCCGGGAUAACCGGGAGGAAGGUGGAGAUGACGUCAAGUCAGUACGGCCCUUAUGCCUUGGGCUACACACGUGUUACAAUGGCUGGUACAAAGGGUUGCCAACCCGCGAGGGGGAGCUAAUCUCAAAAAGCCAGCCCCAGUUCGGAUUGGAGUCUGCAAUUCGACUCCAUGAAGCCGGAAUCGCUAGUAAUGGAAGAUCAGCUCGCUUCCGUGAAUACGUUCCCGGGUCUUGUACACACCGCCCGUCAAGCGAUGAAAGCUGGGGGCACCCGAAGUCCUGUGUAGGCAGGCCGAAGGUGAAACCGGUGAUUGGCGCUAAGUCGGAACAAGGUA